rnacentral:rRNA from 1 species
CCUACGGGAGGCAGCAGUGAGGAAUAUUGGUCAAUGGGCUUACGCCUGAACCAGCCAAGUCGCGUGAGGGAAGACUGCCCUAUGGGUUGUAAACUUCUUUUGUCAGGGAGCAAUUGGCGCUACGUGUAGCGUUAUCGAGAGUACCUGAAGAAAAAGCCUCGCCAAUGUCCGUGCCAGCAGCCGCGUUAAUCCGGAGGUUGCGACCGUUAUCGGGUUUUAUUGGGUUUAAAGGGUGCGUAGGCGGAAUGCCAAGUCAGCGGUAAAAGCGCGGGGCUCACCCUCGCUCCGCCGUUGAAACUGGCGUUCUUGAGUGGGCGAAAAGUAUGCGGAAUGCGUGGUGUAGCGGUGAAAUGCAUAGAUAUCACGCAGAACUCCGAUUGCGAAGGCAGCAUACCGGCGCCCAACUGACGCUGAAGCACGAAAGCGUGGGUAUCGAACAGGAUUAGAUACCCCAGUAGUC